UAAAGGAUCCUCACAUACUGCAGUGAUGACUCUGUGCACCUACCAAGGAAGGAGAUGCCACAGGAGCCAGUAAAGUAUUUCCUUGGUGGUCAGGAACAAGGUCUAUUAGCACAGGUGCCACCCUUAGAGUUCCCAGUGCAUCAUCAGCCUGGGGAUCAUGUCCUCAUCAAGAGCUGGAAAGAGGAGAAGCCUGAGCCAGCCUGGGAAUCUCAUUACUUACUGCUCCUCACUACUGAAACCGCAGUCCGCACGGCAGAGAGAGGAUGGACUCAUCACACCAGAGUCAAGAACGCGCCACCACCUCCAGAGUGGUGGGCCAUAGUCCCAGGGGAAAACCCUACCAAACUAAAGCUAAGAAGAAUUUAACUGUC
rnacentral:lncRNA from 1 species